rnacentral:rRNA from 1 species
CCAAUAGCGUAUAUUAAAGUUGUUGCAGUUAAAAAGCUCGUAGUUGAAUUUCGGGAUCAGUACGCCGGUCGUGCCUUCGGUAUGCACUGGUGUCACUGGUUCCUCCCUUCUGAAGAACCGUCAUGCCAUUCACUUGGUGUGGCGGGAAAUCAGGACUGUUACUUUGAAAAAAUUAGAGUGUUUAAAGCAGGCUCACGCUUGAAUACAUUAGCAUGGAAUAAUGAAAUAGGACGUUGAUCUUAUUUUGUUGGUUUCUAGGAUUGACGUAAUGAUUAAUAGGGAUAGUUGGGGGCAUUAGUAUUCAAUUGUCAGAGGUGAAAUUCUUGGAUUUAUUGAAGACUAACUACUGCGAAAGCAUUUGCCAAGGAUGUUUUCAUUAAUCAAGAACGAAAGUUAGGGGAUCGAAGACGAUCAGAUACCGUCGUAGUCUUAACCAUAAACUAUGCCGACUAGGGAUCGGAUGAUGUUAAUUUUUUAAUGACUCAUUCGGCGCCUUACG